rnacentral:rRNA from 1 species
AGUGAACGCUGGCGGUAGGCCUAACACAUGCAAGUCGAACGGCAGCACAGUAAGAGCUUGCUCUUACGGGUGGCGAGUGGCGGACGGGUGAGGAAUACAUCGGAAUCUACUUUUUCGUGGGGGAUAACGUAGGGAAACUUACGCUAAUACCGCAUACGACCUACGGGUGAAAGCAGGGGAUCUUCGGACCUUGCGCGAUUGAAUGAGCCGAGGUCGGAUUAGCUAGUUGGCGGGGAAAAGGCCCACCAAGGAGACGAUCCGUAGCUGGCCUGAGAGGAUGAUGAGCCAAAUUGGACCUGGGACACGGCCCAGCCUCCUCCGGGAGGAAGAAGAGGGGAAUAUUGGACAAGGGGGGCAAGCCUGAUCCAGCCCUCCCGCGUAGGUGAAGAAGGCCUCGGGGUUGUAAAGCCCGUUUGUUGGGAAAGAAAAGCAGCAGGUUAAUACGCCGCUGUUGUGACGGUAACCAAAGAAUAAGCAACGGCUAACUUCGUG